GUGCGGGUCCGGCUGACCGAGAGGCCACACUGGGCCCUGGGCCCUGCCCCGCCGUCGCCACCUCUCCACUUCCUGCCAGCCCCACAGCUGCCCGCCAGGCAGGGCACAAGGGCCCAUUAUGACGUCACGGUGAGAACCAGCAAAGGGCUCACUGUCAUGCAGACGGCUGCGUCCCCAGCAAGCACCCAUGCGGCCUACCCUGUGCCUGCCUAGCAGAAGGGGCAGCUGCACUUGGGGCGCAGCACACAGCACGCUGCCAGCACCACCAGCACCAGGGCACAGCGUCCUGGUGGAGCAGUGGUGUCCAGGGCCUGGCUUCCAGGGCUCCCGGUGCUAAAACAGCCAUCAGGGACGGAAGCCAGAUCCGUGGGGGUGACAGGCUCAGGGCUCCGUCCUCGCGCUGGGACUCCAGGCCCUGGCUAGGAGGAUGCAGGAGCCACAACUGGGCAGGGAGCCCCCGCCUGCACACAGUCUGCCCGUGGCACACACCUGCUGUGUAGAUGCCACCAGACCAGGGCGAAGACAGGGAUGGAGGCCAAGCCAGACCUCAGCUCCAAACCCGACCCAGGGUCUCACCUGGGCACCCAGGCCGGUGCUCCUCCUGGUCCCAGAGCCACACCUGCAGGCUGAACGCCACUGAAGCAACGAGGACGUGCCAGCCACACCACAGGCCUGACCACACAGUCCCACGAACACACCACUGCAGGUCAGGUGGUGUGCAUCGAAGAAACCCCGGCCCCUGCCAGCACUGACGGCGCCUGCCCGGGCACCCCAGGCGCUGCUUCCGGCCGGGGAGCCUGCAGCAGGAGACCUGAGAGAAAAACCACCUCAAGUUUCACAGAUGCAAAUCCACACAAUGGAGCAUGAUUCUGCCACAGAAAGGAUGGACCCUGAAACUUGGGGACAGCGGGCUGACUGGAGCCUACCAGGGCCUGGGACGGGUGACAGGAGAGACCCUCGCUAGCCCGGGCUUCCUUCAGGGUGGAGAAAGUGCUGGAAGCUCGGGGCUCGACAUUACGAACACACAGAAAACUGGGGAGCCACUUGCUGAUGGAUGGUUCACUUCGUAUCAAUGAGCCCCACCUCCAUCAACAGCAGAAGGACCUCAGCCCCCACAGCGGGCUCCCAGCCUCGGGGAGCAGCGCCCUCUCGGCCAGGCAAGCUCCGGCUCUGGCCAGGGGCAGCCGCACACUGAGCCCGGGCAUGGGCCUGGGCGCUGGGCAGACAGC
rnacentral:lncRNA from 1 species